ACUUGCUCAUUUUUUGGUCGUCCAAAGACAAUUUAAGGAGUUUAUAGUUCCACAAUAUGGGUUCAGGGAAUGGAAUUCAGGUCAUCAGGUUUGGAGACUAACGCGAAUGGGUGUGGGUGCACGCGUUCUGAGCCUCCUAUGUGGAAUUCGGAGGACAAUUUGGUGGAAUUGCUUUCUCCUUUAACCAGGUAUCACAAAAUGAGUCCCGAGGAUCGAACUCCUAAUAGGCUUGUGGGCAAUCACCAUUUCUGGGGCCCUGCUUGGCGUCCUAAGUACUCACAAGCCCCACCCAACUCCCAGGAUUUCGACGCUUGCACUAAGGCCACGCCCACUUCUAGCCCCGCUCUGGGUUUUUAAGCCCCGGACCGCGCGGCCUCUUGCUUCCGUUUCAUUGGGAGGACUGGACCGCGCCCACGUCCAGCGCCAGGAGGGUGGUCUUAAAGGUGUAUGUUCUUCCGGCUAUGGUGCAUUUUAUGGCUCUUGUUUACGCUUGCGUUUUUUGUGAAGAAAAGGCUGGGGAUGAACAGAAUGCGGCCGGGCAGGUGUCCCUGUUCCCUUCGAGCGGCAGCUGGCAGGUUUUCUCACAGAACCUCUCGUGCAUUGGAUGUGCUGAAUUAGUUACCACUGAUGACUUCCCGUCUCUACCUCCCCUUUGCUACAACGAUGGAUGAGCCACCACAUCUGGAUUUUUGCAUAGUUUAAGGAUUUGAACUUCGAUCUGUUAUGUGUUCAGCAAAUGAUUUCCCCACUAAACAACUCUCUGUCUCACCAACAUCAUUACAGCUUGACAACAACACUUCUCUCAAGAGGUCUGUCUUCCUAUUUCCCUUUGGGUUGUUUGUUUGUUUGUUUGUUUUCUUUUUUUUAAUUGGCCUUUCAAAAUGGACUACAUUUCCCAGAACUCUGAAGGCACCCAAUAUCACAUGAUCAUAAUCCAUCCAAUAAGGGGAGUGAUGUGUUCUUCCUCUUUUCCUCUUUCCUCCUUGGCCUAGUCUAAGACAGCGGAAUACUGGAUCUUGAGGAGGAAGGCCAUCUUUUAGAGACUUUAAAAGAAGACAGCAACAGUGAACUUACAUAUAAUAAAUAAAUAAAUAAGCUCUGAA
rnacentral:sRNA from 1 species